AGUCUGUCCUUUAUGUAGUCAUAUGAGAGAUCCAAGGUUAUUUUGUGGCCUGAGUGCUAGCUGCCAGGAGCAAAAUGAGAACUGAAAACAAUUCAGUUGUCCUAACCCAAUCAGGAGAGAGGACUAGGGAACUUAUUACUGAUGCUGGAGGUGGAUGGGGAACACAAGUGAAGAAAGAGAAGGAAGAUUUGCAGAAUAUCAAUAUUUCUUUCCAACUCCUGCCUUCCACUCCCAAAUAAAAGCAAUAGAAAUGUUUUUUUAAUCAGAAAUCAAAAGAAAAACAUUUUAAAUAAGAAAACAUUUAGAGAGAAAAAAGGAGAACUCAGAACAUAGUAAUAAAAGUGAAUCCCAAAGGAACA
rnacentral:lncRNA from 1 species